UGGGGAAUAUUGCACAAUGGGCGCAAGCCUGAUGCAGCCAUGCCGCGUGUGUGAAGAAGGCCUUCGGGUUGUAAAGCACUUUCAGCGGGGAGGAAGGCGAUAAGGUUAAUAACCUUGUCGAUUGACGUUACCCGCAGAAGAAGCACCGGCUAACUCCGUGCCAGCAGCCGCGGUAAUACGGAGGGUGCAAGCGUUAAUCGGAAUUACUGGGCGUAAAGCGCACGCAGGCGGUCUGUCAAGUCGGAUGUGAAAUCCCCGGGCUCAACCUGGGAGCUGCAUUGGAAACUGGCAGGCUAGAGUCUUGUAGAGGGGGGUAGAAUUCCAGGUGUAGCGGUGAAAUGCGUAGAGAUCUGGAGGAAUACCGGUGGCGAAGGCGGCCCCCUGGACAAAGACUGACGCUCAGGUGCGAAAGCGUGGGGAGCAAACAGG
rnacentral:rRNA from 1 species